CAGUGGUGGGAGAAACUACUUACUCAAAUAAAUAGAAAUUGUUUCUAUUCAAUUGACUAAACAGUUUACUAAAUUAGUUAUUUAGUUUUGAUCCUGUCAAAAGAUAAAAAAGAAGAAGAGGGGACAGUGAUAAAAACAUAGUAGCUAGUAAAUCUGAUAAUGAAAGUACUAAUAAAUAAAACUACUAGUAAAUAAAUAUAGUUUUAAUAAAAGAAGAAAUUGAACAAUAAACAACGAAACAUAGUGUCAGAAGCGUAGUCGAAAUUCGCCGACAGCUUAAAAAGAAUAAAAAAUAAAAGAAGCCAUUUUCCCUCCAAUAAAUAUAAUAAAAAACGAGAAGUUAAAAAUAAGAAAAUCGUACGGAUGUAUCAAAUGUGUAGUGAAAAAUGGAAUGCUUCAAGUCCCCGGAAGCGUUUAACGUACAGGAACCACAUGGAUGGUCCAAAUGGAAGCAAAGAUUUGAAAUAUUUUUGUUAGCUUCGGAAAAAAGCACUACUGAGGAAAAUAUAAAAGUAGCUGUUGAAUAUUCUUGUAUAUCUAUAAUACAUUUGAAAUAACCAAAAGUUCAAAACUAGAUGAUGUGUUAUAUUAUAAGAAAUGUAAGUAUGAAAACAAUUAAAUUUAACAGCAUACAGCAAAAAAAAGGUCAAAAUAUAGAUUCAAGCAGCAAACUGUUUGUUUGUGUUUGUGUGUGAAAAGGGUCAGUGUAAAAGCAGCUAUGCAGAGAGGAUGAUAAAAGACAGAAUAGCACUGGGUGUUCUGGAUAAAUAGGUUCAAAGACACUUAUUAAGAGAACCAUCAAUGUCAUUAGGCAAGAUGCUUCAAUAUUGUAGGAGUAUUGAAGUUACAAUGAAACAUGUUGAGUUAUUAAAAAGUGGUACAGAAAAAACACAAGAAGCUGAUGCUCUUAAGUUUUUACGCAAAUGUGGAAGAUGUGUUUUCAGUCAUCAACCUAGACAAUGCCCCUCUUAUAAUCAAACUUGUGCAAUUUGUCAACGUAAAGGCCAUUUUGCUAAGGUUUGUUUUUUCAAGGACAAACAGCACCAAAACAAGUAGUAAGAACGAGGUAAUUAUUCUAAUUCCAAAUAGCCAGAAAACAGGAGGCAGGAAGAAUAUCGGUCAAAUGAACAAGAUGAAGCUGAGGUUAAGAAACUAACAUCAGAAGUACAGGUUUUGGGCACUGUAAACUCAGAAUUCAGAUAUUAUAAGUAGGAACAAUGCAGUCCUGUCAAGAGAUAGAAAAAAGAAGAAGAUAGCAUAGUGAUAAAAAACAUGGUAGCUUGAAAACCUGAUAAUGAAAGUGCUAAUAAAUAAAACUACUAGUAAAUAAAUAUAGUUUUAAUAAAACAUAUAAAAAAAAAGAAAUUGAACAAUAAAAAACGAAACAACAUGAAACAGUUGAUUGACUUGUAUGCACAAUACAGGAGUGAAGUUGGUACUUUCAAAGUAAAAAUGGUUAAAAUUAUGAAGCUGAAGAAAGCCACAGAGUUUAAAAAUAUUAGCAUCCAAAUAACACCAUUAUGAAUUAGUAAAAGGUAGUAGGAAGAAGCUUCAGAACAUAUGCGGAGAACCAGAAUAAAACAGAAAGAGAACAGAAAAAGGCCUCUAACUUCAACUGAAUGCUGACAGGAGUGGAAAUUAAAUUAUUACUAAAGAAAAAAAAUUUCUUGCUUUAUCACAAUACCCAGUAAUAAGCAAACUAUACAUUUUGUGUCGCUCAACUGAAGAAGAUUAAUCACAAUGAGUAUUUGCUCUUUGGAUGGAUCGAUAUGACUUGAUAAUCUUACUAAUCUCCUUUUAUUCAAUAUGUAGUAAGAAAGCUACAAAUAAUUAUUUGUAUUGCUUCAGUACAAAUGAUCAAACUUUCCCUGAUAGGUGGAUAGGACAAGUUUAUUUAUUUGGCCAUCCAGAUCUUCAGACCUAACUUGCCUAGAUUUUUAUUUGUGGGGCCAAAUAAAGGAUCUUUUUUACACCAGGAACCUAACCAAAACCGAGCAUUUGUGAUCAUCUUGUCUCUUGUAAAGAUUGCGCUCUGAGGUCGAGAAUUGGUUUCCUUCAAUUAAUUUCCUUCCAGACUCCAAAAUACAAGAUUAAUGAAAAGGAAUUGACCGGCUGACUUAAGAAAUGGUUAAAAUGGACUGGAAAAGUCAUUAACACGAUAUAUAGGAGCAAAAAAUGGAUUCACUAUGUAAAUUUGGUGAUAACCUUUGUACCGUUUGAGGGUGUUUUGGAGGAGUGACCAUCCCAUGAUCUUGCGGGCCACGUAUGUUUUUAAAGAAAAUAGAAAAAAAAGCCAAUCUGUAUACAAAUAAUACAAUAAGUUAUUGUGUUGAUAUUUCGGCGAGCCACACAUAAAAUUAUAUUAGUAUUAAUAUAAAUAAAUACCAAAAACUUGGGAGGUAACAUUUUAAACAGAAUUAAUUAUUAUUAUAAAAUAACUUGUAGUAUUUAAUAAUUUCCCUACAAAGAAAUGUAAACAAAAUGAGUAUUUACAUAUUGUAGUCUAUGAGUUCUUAGCCUAACAUAGAAAAGAAUAAUUUAAUAAAAUAAAACCAAUAUUAUAUCAUUAUAAAACCAUUAUAAACAAA